rnacentral:misc_RNA from 1 species
UCCGGCUUAUCACCGGCAGUCCCUUUAGAGUGCCCAACUGAAUGGUGGCAACUAAAGGCGAGGGUUGCGCUCGUUGCGGGACUUAACCCAACAUCUCACGACACGAGCUGACGACAGCCAUGCAGCACCUGUGCACUGGCCCCGAAGGGAGGCGCUAUUUCUAGCGCUUUCCAGUGCAUGUCAAGCCUUGGUGAGGUUCUUCGCGUUGCGUCGAAUUAAACCACAUGCUCCGCUGCUUGUGCGGGCCCCCGUCAAUUCCUUUGAGUUACAACCUUGCGGCCGUACUCCCCAGGCGGUCAACUUCACGCGUUAGCUUCGUUACUGAGUCAGUGAAGACCCAACAACCAGUUGACAUCGUUUAGGGCGUGGACUAC